UAAUACACAUUUCCAUCACAAUGAACUAGAUUAUUUAUUAAUGAAAGUUCAAGGCAGAGGAAUGUUUAUUAUAGGCAUACAAUUUUACUGUUCAAAUUUAAACAAAUAAUGAAAUUUUACAAUAGACACAUUUUUGGAAAACACACAAAUUUCUAUCACAAAGAUUUAAUAUAAAUUCAAACAAAAUCUGUGUCCAUGGUAAAGGUAUGUCUGAUCAUAAUACACAUUUCCAUCACAAUGAACUAGAUUAUUUAUUAAUGAAAGUCCAAGGCAGAGGAAUGUUUAUUAUAAUAGGCAUACCAUUUUACCGUUCAAAUUUUAUCAAAUAAUGUAUUUUUUAAUUUUUUAUAUGUAUCAAAUUGUAUGCAAUUUUCCAAUAGACACAUUUUUGGAAAACACAUAAAUUCCUAUCACAAAGAUUAAGAUAUUUUAGUUUUAAAAGUUAAAAUCUAAAAUAUGACUAUUUAUGGCAAACUCAUAUUUUAUAUAAAUUCAAACAAAACCUGUGUCUAAAUGUAUUUUAUUUUAAUCAAAUCUAGUGAAUGUAUCAAAUUUUAUCCAAUUUUACAAUAGACACAUUUUUGGAAAACACACAAAUUCCUAUCACAAAGAUUAAGAUAUUUUAGUUUUAAAAGUGGAAAUCUAAAAUAUGACUAUUUAUGGCAAACUCAUAUUUUAUAUAAAUUCAAACAAAACCUGUGUCUAAAUGUAUUUUAUUUUAAUCAAAUCUAGUGAAUUUAUAUAUUAGAACAUAUGUCUGAUCAAAAUACACGUUUCUAUCACAAAAUGUUAGAUUUUUCAUUACUAAAAUUUGAAGUCAGUGAUGAUUAGUGAGCCAAAACGCCAUGCUAUUCAAAUUUAAACAAAUUAUGAACUAUUAAGUAUUCUAAUUGGUAUCAGAUAUUGUGAAAUUAUAAAUAAGACAUAUUUAUGAUUAAAAUACACAUUACUAUCACAAAGAACUAGUUAAUGUAAUAAAAGUGAAAAUCUAAAAGAUAUUUAAAAAUUAAUAUUCUGUAUCAAUUCAAACAAAAUCUGUGUAUAUGUGUAUUUAAUAUUUAUCCAACAUUGUGAAAUAAUACAUCUAAACGUAAGUGAUCACAAUAAACAUACGUAUCGCAAAAAACUAGAUCAUUUAUUAAUAAGCGUCCAAGUCAAGAUUUUUAAUAUCGCAAAACACUAUGCUAUUCAAAAUUUAAUCAAAUUAUGUAUUAUUAAGUUUUUUACUUUGUAUUAAAUAAUGUGAAAUUAUAUAUAAAGACAAAUUUAU